AAUCACACGCCAGUCUCAGCUCAGUCCCGGGACUGCGCUUCACACAGCUUUUGGGGAAGCGGGGGAGGGGACCAGGACGGCAGAGGGAGCGCCAGCAGAGGGACAAAAAGGUCUAUCUGCUUUGCAUCUGGAGCAAUCUGAGCUUGAUUACAGAGGAUGAAGUAGAGUAUAAACAAAGUUGCUGAGAGAGAACCUGAAGUUGUAAUCAGACCUCCGGGAUCAGGCACAUAAAUACUCUGCAGCAGAAAUCCCACUAGCUGCAGGAGCUGGAAUUACAUGAGCAACCUCUGCUUGUCAUAUAGAAGCGUUUGAGAGGAGACUACACUCACACGUCUGCGCUUUAGUUUAGGGUGAGAUGUUAAGCAAGGACCAGAGAGGAGUGUGUUAAACCAAACCCUGCUGGAUGUUGUAACCAGAAAUCUUACUUUUAGGAAUUUCUGAAAGUCAUGUAAGCCAAAUGAGACAG